AACGAACGCUGGCGGCAUGCUUAACACAUACAAGUCGAACGGAAAGGCCCUGCUUUUGUCGGGUGCUCUUGUGGCUAACGGGUGAGUAACACGUAAGUAACCUGCCCUUGACUUUUGGGUAACUUCAGGAAACUAGGGCUAAUAACGGAUAGUAGCUCCUGCUGCAUGGUGUGGGUUGGAAAGUUUCGGCGGUUGGGGAUGGACUCGGGGCUUAGCAGCUUGUUGGUGGGGUAGUGGCUUACCAAGGGUUUGACAGGUAGCCCGCCUGAGAGGGUGAACGGCCACAUUGGGCCUGAGAUACGGAGCAGACUGCUACGGGAGGCAGCGGUGGGAAAUCUUGCCCAAUGGGGGGAAGCCUGAUGCAGAAACGCCGCGUGCGGGAUGAAGGCCUGCGGGUUGUAAACCGCUUUCGCCUGUGACGAAGCGUGAGUGACGGUAAUGGGUAAAGAAGCACCGGCUAACUACGUG
rnacentral:rRNA from 1 species